CUCUGGCAGCUCCUGAAGCGCCUUGUUGUAAGCCUUCUUCUUGAGUAUGGCGUGCACAUCCUAAAGUUGUUGGUCAACUUGUUCUAUUUGAUCUUUUGUUUAUGCACGUCAGGUUAAUUGCAUUAGUCGAAACAGGGUGGACCACGUGAAGGUUGCAAUCUCCC